AAACCAUGAUGAGGACGCUACCUUAAUAAGCUUUUGAAUCUCUUCCAUGCCUCAACUAGUGAUUCUCCAUCUACCUGAGCAAAACUUGUAAUGCAAUUCCUCAUAU